AGGUCCGAGCUGUUCCCAAGGCUGGAAGACUGCCUUGCUUCCACCCAAGGCGUCGGAAUUGCCCUCCCGCUCCUGCGCUCCCCGGCUCCCCCGCUCUCCCGCCCCCCACCUCCCAUCCUCCAUCCUUUCGUUCCCACUAGGGAUUUGCAGGGUCACUGAAACGGCUCCUCCUUCUCCCAUUUCCCUCUCCAAACCCAGUCCAAAGCAACGGCAAGGCUUCGCCUUCUGGGGCUUAUUUUAUUCUAAUUCUUUGUUUUUGGCAGCAAAACUCUUAACGGAAAGAGGGGGGUGGGGCCGGGGGAUGGCGCUCCUGCUUCAGCCCAGCUGUGGGGCUGUGGGAGAGCCGCCCGCAGGGGUCGGGGUCGGGAACUGGAGCUUCAGCCUGUGGAAAUCUGAAACUCGGAAAGAGUGAGGCAGAGAAUCUCCGUACUCCGCAGAGAAUCUCUUGGGGGGGCGGGAGGAGGAGGGGGGGCUACAUAGUCCCCUCUGGGGAUCAAAACCUCCCAGGGGAGAGGGGACAGACACCUGGUGAUUCUUGUAGACUGGGCGGCCCGUACUAUAGAGGCUCCCCUGAGGCGAUCUCCAAGAGACUGUGGCGGGUGUAGCCUUCUGGGAGUAUACCCUUAUUAUUCCUGCAGAUUAUAUCACCAUUAGUGUAUAAUUAUUGUAUAAUGGGCGUUAUUACAUAAUGUCCGUUAUAUAACGCUCAGCCGGAGAUACAGACAGUAGGGAUAUUAUAUGUGUGUGUGUGUCUAUGUAUAGACACCUUCCUCACACUGGAUAUGUGGUCAUAUCAUAACCAUCAUGUAAAUACUUCCCUUAGCUGGGCUAUAAAUUUCCGAAGAGUGACGUCAACAGGCUCCUUACUGCGUUUGGAGGCGGAGGGGGGAAGGGAGGGUGAGAAUAUUUGGCCCCACCUAUCUCUUAUGACAUCAUGGUUUCCUUAGCAACCGUGUGCUCCCAAGGGGGACAAAGCGAAGAGAAGACUUUAGAAGAAGGGGGAUAUAGAUAAAAACCCAAAUGAGGAAAUGAUGAAGCCCCUCCACAAAUGUCUAUCCAUAGAAAGCUAUGCUUCGAAGACAAGGACUGUAACAGCUCAAUAGAAGAAUUGAAUCCCCUGGAGAAACAGACUUCAAAUUAUAAUUUGACUGGACUGAAGAUGAACCUCAACAGAAUGGCUUUGGACAGGGUGUUUAUUGCCCUUGGAUGAAUCUUUUUCCUUGUUAUUUUCCCCAAUAAUUCACCAAGGACCAAAAUCAAA